rnacentral:rRNA from 1 species
GAUGAACGCUGGCGGCGUGCCUAACACAUGCAAGUCGAACGAAGCAAUUAAAAUGAAGUUUUCGGAUGGAUUUUUGAUUGACUGAGUGGCGGACGGGUGAGUAACGCGUGGAUAACCUGCCUCACACUGGGGGAUAACAGUUAGAAAUGACUGCUAAUACCGCAUAAGCGCACAGUACCGCAUGGUACGGUGUGAAAAACUCCGGUGGUGUGAGAUGGAUCCGCGUCUGAUUAGCCAGUUGGCGGGGUAACGGCCCACCAAAGCGACGAUCAGUAGCCGACCUGAGAGGGUGACCGGCCACAUUGGGACUGAGACACGGCCCAAACUCCUACGGGAGGCAGCAGUGGGGAAUAUUGCACAAUGGGCGAAAGCCUGAUGCAGCGACGCCGCGUGAGUGAAGAAGUAUUUCGGUAUGUAAAGCUCUAUCAGCAGGGAAGAAAAUGACGGUACCUGACUAAGAAGCCCCGGCUAACUACGUGCCAGCAGCCGCGGUAAUACGUAGGGGGCAAGCGUUAUCCGGAUUUACUGGGUGUAAAGGGAGCGUAGACGGCGAAGCAAGUCUGAAGUGAAAACCCAGGGCUCAACCCUGGGACUGCUUUGGAAACUGUUUUGCUAGAGUGUCGGAGAGGUAAGUGGAAUUCCUAGUGUAGCGGUGAAAUGCGUAGAUAUUAGGAGGAACACCAGUGGCGAAGGCGGCUUACUGGAC